UAUAAAACAAAUAGAUAAGAUUUUGCCGUUGUCUGUUCAGUUAUAGAUACACAAAAGUAACCCCCUUUUUUGUUCUUCCCUAAGGAACAGACAACGGCAAAAUCUUAUCUAUUUGUUAAAUA